AAACCCCAAACAAUUCAGCCUAGGUUAAAUUUUCUUAAAAGUAGGUCAAACACAAAGGUCAAGGUCACAAGGUCAAAAUACUUUGAUACCAAAAUAAAGGUCUUAUCACAAGGGAAAAUAUGAAAUAUCAAAGCUCUAUUACUCACAUGAGCAAAUUUCAGACAGACAUGACAAAAACAAUAUGCCCCCACCCUGACUUUAGUCAAGGGGGCAUAGAAAUAAAUUAACACAACUUAGAAAUAUUUGCAUUUUGAAAUGAUUUAGUGUGGCCCUGCUAACCUUGAAAAGAAUUUUGAAAAAGAAAUUUCCUGUAUAUUCCCAUAUCAGACUUUGAUCUCCUCCUCACUCUAGUUCUUGGGCCCCUGAAUUUAGCAUAAUAGAAUUUACACUACCUGAAGAUCCUUGCAUAAAUGAAUAUGACUAAUCAUUAAUGAAGUGGACUUGAGAAGAUGAUUUUUAAAGAUGUUUCCCUAUAUUUUCCCUUUUAUACUUUGAUUCUCUAUUAUAGCGUCAUCCUACCCCAGGUCAUUACUAACCAUUAGAAAUACCUUAGUUAAGCAUUCUAAACAUUAAAAAGGAGGAAAUAAAAUUUGAAAUUUUGCGGCUCAAAUCGUGUCGAUGUCCCUAAAACAAGGACCACUUUUAGACAAACUUCACGUUUCCAUCACUUGUCAGCCAUAUCUGUUUAUCCAUGAAACUUUGAUAAGGUUCGGACUGGAUAUUCAUUUUUCAUCAAAAAAAAAAAAAAAAAAAAAAAAAAAAUGAAAAUAAAUAAAUAUCCGCGUUUACACAAAUGGAGAUAUUUUCUAAGUAAAUACUCUUUUCUGCAAAAAUGACAAUUUACGAAAGCUUUGGGUCAUUUUAUAUUUUUACGCCAAGGAAGAUAACUUAAAUAUCUGACUUUUUAGCUACUUCUGUCAUAAAAUGCACAACAACAGCAAGGUUUUCCAGCAAUUUUAUUGUUUUAUCUUAAUUAUUAAGGGAUUUCCUUCAAAUAUUGUCUAUACUUUCUGGACAAAUUUUGUUUUAUUGAUUAUUAUUUAAUUUUCCAAAAUGACUGUUUUCUAUAGAUUAUAUAGGAUCCUCGGAUUAAUGAAAUAGACCAAAAUUUGGCACUUUACAAUGUUUUUUGUGAAAUGUACUUUACAUACGAUAAAAUUGGCGUAUAAUCUUAAAGGGAACGUAGGGUCAAAAAUGAAAUUUUGAUAUGUGAAAACUGGUACCAUGCAGACAACAAAAUCUAGCAUAGAAAAAAUAAUUGCUGCUGAUAACAAGAUUUGAUAUGUCAUUUACACUGAAAACUGAGCUGAAUGGGAGAAUCUCUUAUCAUGGCGGCUGAUGACGUGUAUGCGGCAAUUCAUUACAACUGCUGGCACUAUAGCACUAAAUGGGUUACAGAAUAUCUAUAAUUUAAAUGUCGGGAGUUCAAGCGAAAUUUUGCACUGUGGUCAAAGGAAAAGGAAUACAUGUAUCUACCUUUUAGCAUCCCUGAUCUCCCCAAAAACUAUGAACAUUGUGCAAGAAUUGGAUACAUACCGGUAACCUUGGAAAUGAAUCUUUUGUUUUUGAACGGCAUUUUGAGAAAGAUUCUUUUAAAGAGGAUAUCAGGCUAAUCCAUUUUCUUUUGGAAACCUAUUGACCAACCUGGACUAUUAGCAUCUAAGGAAACAGCUCAAUGAAGACAUCAAUAGUGACAAAACUAUCCCACUCUCAAUCCAUAUUGAAGAAUAAAUCAACUUUGUGCAACAUAUACAGAUAGAAUUGUCCAGUCAUUGUCCAUCAUAUGUGCUAAGGAAUGUUCAAGUGAAGAAUGAAGAAGUGAAGAUAAUGAACAAUCCUGUAUAAAGAAUUCAAAAUUAAAAGUUUAAGAAUUAAGAGUGUCGCUUUCAUCAAUUCAUCCCAA